CCCAAACCCCUGUGAACAUACCACUUGUUGCCUCGGCGGAUCAGCCCGCUCCCGGUAAAACGGGACGGCCCGCCAGAGGACCCCUAAACUCUGUUUCUAUAUGUAACUUCUGAGUAAAACCAUAAAUAAAUCAAAACUUUCAACAACGGAUCUCUUGGUUCUGGCAUCGAUGAAGAACGCAGCAAAAUGCGAUAAGUAAUGUGAAUUGCAGAAUUCAGUGAAUCAUCGAAUCUUUGAACGCACAUUGCGCCCGCCAGUAUUCUGGCGGGCAUGCCUGUUCGAGCGUCAUUUCAACCCUCAAGCACAGCUUGGUGUUGGGACUCGCGUUAAUUCGCGUUCCUCAAAUUGAUUGGCGGUCACGUCGAGCUUCCAUAGCGUAGUAGUAAAACCCUCGUUACUGGUAAUCGUCGCGGCCACGCCGUUAAACCCCAACUUCUGAAUGUUGACCUCGGAUCAGGUAGGAAUACCCGCUGAACUUAAGCAUAU
rnacentral:rRNA from 1 species